rnacentral:lncRNA from 1 species
UCUUGGCCUGCUCCUGUCUGUGCUUUGUAAAGGCCCUUCUGAAGUAGUUGUUUUGCACCAGAUCCUCCUGGUUUCAGCAGGUGGGUUUAGAAGCUAGACCUGUGCAGACCCAGAGCUCCUGGCACCUGGGGUGGGAAUGCCAGGUGAGGCCAGUUAGGGCAAUCAGGGCUAAUUAAAGCAGGAGGGGCUGGCAGGUGGCUGUGUCUCUCAGUUAGACCUUUGUAAGCUCUGGUGAGAGCACAACUGUUGGUGUUCCAUAGCACUGUGUGAGGAGGAUGAGUACAACAGCAAGUAAAGAAAGCACAGAAGAGGUCUCGCAGCAUGGGCAGCGUGAUGCCUCCCCGAGCCGUUCCUGCUGGAGCUUCUGUGCCUUCAGCGAGGCGUGGUGCUCAAGGUCAGGCAGCAAACGAGUCUGCCUCAGGAAUGAGGAAAAGAAGGUAGCAUCUAUUCUGGGAGACACCUUCCAGGCAGCUCUGCAGAUCUGACAGUUAAUAUUUGAACAGAUUCAAAUAUACUUUCCUUCGCUACCCACAGAAGUAGGCUUUCAGCUCUUUCUAGGUUAUAGCUUCUCUUGGCAGCUGUUUGUUGCGAACCUUUUGGUGUUGAUUGGUGGGUUUUGGUACUGCACAAUAGAACGCGUUGCGGCGUUUUUCCUACUGAUAGAGUGAUGAUAUGGAUCCUCAAAUUAACUCCUCUUUAGGGAAAGAAAACAAAAUGACAGUCUCUAGGAAGGUGUUGGAGGAAAAUUCCCAAUGUUGUGAUUUACUUGAAGUAAAUUUAUUUCUGGAAUAUCUACAGAGCAAUUCAGUAAAACCCCUGCAAUAUUUUUGUCAUACGUAGGCCACGUAAUUAUAGUUGAGAGU